rnacentral:rRNA from 1 species
GAUGAACGCUGGCGGCGUGCCUAAUACAUGCAAGUCGAGCGAACAGACGAGGAGCUUGCUCCUCUGACGUUAGCGGCGGAAGGGUGAGUAACACGUGGAUAACCUACCUAUAAGACUGGGAUAACUUCGGGAAACCGGAGCUAAUACCGGAUAAUAUAUUGAACCGCAUGGUUCAAUAGUGAAAGACAGUUUUGCUGUCACUGAUAGAUGGAUCCGCGCCGCAUUAGCUAGUUGGUAAGGUAACGGCUUACCAAGGCAACGAUGCGUAGCCGACCUGAGAGGGUGAUCGGCCACACUGGAACUGAGACACGGUCCAGACUCCUACGGGAGGCAGCAGUAGGGAAUCUUCCGCAAUGGGCGAAAGCCUGACGGAGCAACGCCGCGUGAGUGAUGAAGGUCUUCGGAUCGUAAAACUCUGUUAUUAGGGAAGAACAAAUGUGUAAGUAACUAUGCACGUCUUGACGGUACCUAAUCAGAAAGCCACGGCUAACUACGUG